UUGUUGGUAAGGUAAAGGCUUACCAAGGCUUCGAUCAGUAGCUGGUCUGAGAGGACGGCCAGCCACACUGGGACUGAGACACGGCCCAGACUCCUACGGGAGGCAGCAAUAGGGAAUUUUGGACAAUGGGGGAAACCCUGAUCCAGCCAUGCCGCGUGAGUGAAGAAGGCCUUCGGGUUGUAAAGCUCUUUCAGCCGGAACGAAACGGUUACGGAUAAUACCCGUGACUACUGACGGUACCGGAAGAAGAAGCACCGGCUAACUACGUGCCAGCAGCCGCGGUAAUACGUAGGGUGCGAGCGUUAAUCGGAAUUACUGGGCGUAAAGCGUGCGCAGGUGGUUUUGUAAGUCAGAUGUGAAAGCCCCGGGCUCAACCUGGGAACUGCGUUUGAAACUACAAGACUAGAGUGUGGCAGAGGGGGGUGGAAUUCCGCGUGUAGCAGUGAAAUGCGUAGAGAUGUGGAAGAACACCGAUGGCGAAGGCAGCCCCCUGGGUUAACACUGACACUCAGGCACGAAAGCAUGGGGAGCAAACAGGAUUAGAUACCCUGGUAGUCCAUGCCCUAAACGAUGUCAACUAGUUGUCGGGCCUUUACGGGCUUGGUAACGUAGCUAACGCGUGAAGUUGACCGCCUGGGGAGUACGAUCGCAAGAUUAAAACUCAAAUGAAUUGACGGGGACCCGCACAAGCGGUGGAUUAUGUGGAUUAAUUCGAUGCAACGCGAAAAACCUUACCUACCCUUGACAUGUAUCGAAGCCCGCAGAAAAGCGGGGGUGCCCGAAAGGGAACGAUAACACAGGUGCUGCAUGGCUGUCGUCAGCUCGUGUCGUGAGAUGUUGGGUUAAGUCCCGCAACGAGCGCAACCCUUGUCAUUAAUUGCCAUCAUUUAGUUGGGCACUUUAAUGAGACUGCCGG
rnacentral:rRNA from 1 species